UUACGGCCAUAUCACUUUGAAACACCGGUUCAUGUACGAUCACCGAAGUUAAGCAACAUUGAGCCUGGUCAGUACCUAGAUGAGCGAUCGCUUGGGAAUACCACGUGCAGUAA